UACGUAGGGGGCAAGCGUUGUCCGGAAUCAUUGGGCGUAAAGAGCGUGUAGGCGGCUCGGUAAGUCUGCUGUGAAAGUCCAGGGCUCAACCCUGGGAUGCCGGUGGAUACUGUCGAGCUCGAGUCCGGAAGAGGCGAGUGGAAUUCCUGGUGUAGCGGUGAAAUGCGCAGAUAUCAGGAGGAACACCGAUGGCGAAGGCAGCUCGCUGGGACGUGACUGACGCUGAGACGCGAAAGCGUGGGGAGCAAACAAG
rnacentral:rRNA from 1 species